CCCAGCCCCCACCAGUCCACCGCCCGGGUGUAGGACGGAUCCGUCAAAAUUUCUGGAGCCAGGAAUUCCGGGGUGCCGCAGAAGGUGCUGGUCCGGUCUCCGAAACCGACCCCUGGGAUGCGGGAUAAAGAGGAGAAAAACGGUGCACCAUCGUUUAUAAUGCUUACGGAGAAGAAUCUCUUGUUAAAUUAUGUGAAGGCAGCGAAUGCAAAUGUAUGGAAGCGGAAUGUGGACAUAUGCAGCCCCGGCUGGACACCUCCAUAACUUUGGAUACCCGGAAAGAGGCAGCUUGCCAGCAGAACAUUGCCUAUGUUCCUCUACGGAGGAUCAUCAACACUCACGGCUGAGUUCCUCCUGGCAAAGGAGCUUCCCCGCAGGCCCCCGGCCGGGGAAGUUGAUGCCAGCCCAUGUCCGGGUCAAAAGCCUGAAGUCACCAGAGCUCGUGUAAACAGGCGCGGAAGUGGCCAUACGGGAACGGCCUGGCAUCUUCUCCAAGAGGUCUUCACAGCCCACCAAACGGACUAGAAGGCCACCUGCAAGCCAAAGAGAAGAGCCACAACGCGUGAACCACUGUCACAAAAGAGGGUUGUAAGGAAAAAUGUUCAAAAUAUAUCACUGAAGGAGAAAAUUGCCGUGAUUAUUCAAAUCAUUUACCAGAAUAAAUUCAGAACGGAAAAUCCAGCAUGAAUUAGGCAGUAGAUCUAAAAGAAAUUAGGACUUUUAUCUCUCUGGGACUGAACAGAGAUGUUGGUUCUUUGACUAAUUUGAUCCAGUUACAAUACUCAGAAAACAGGCUUCUGUUUAUCUGGAGUACUUUGAAAUUUUAGUGGAAAUUGGCACAACUUGUCUGCAGCUUUGUUGCCAUUUAACUUGGUGUUUACACAUAAACACACAAGGAUAAGUGAGGAUAAGUGAGAUAACUUUGUUAUUUUACUAAACACAGUUAAUCUGUUUAAAAACAACACAACAUUUUCCUUAUCACAAAAGAACAUUCCUUGUUUUGUAAAACAAUGGCUGUUAAGUCUAAAAUGUAGAAACUGUCAUGCAAUAAGGCUGGCCAGAGCCACUGUAGGUGAGGAGCGGCGUAGGAAAUUGAUAAAAGAAAAGGAAAGGAAAGGAAGAAAAGGAGAAAAAAGGAGGAAGGGAAAGGAGAAUUUGAAGGGAAGGAAAGAAAUAACAAAGGAAAAGAAAAAAGAAAGGAGAUAAAUGGAUGAAAAAGGAAAAGAAAAGAAAUUAAAUAACAAUAAAAUCUGUGUGGUAUUCUUUGCUUCCAGUAAUCUAUGACUGCAUAAUUUUUAUUUUCUCUUGAUUUGCAUGCAGAUAGGCUGAAACAGAAAAUCAUAUUUAAUGGAUUUGAUACAGUGGCUUUAAUUAGCAUUGGCAAAUUCGUACGUUUGCAUUUGUACCUUUAUAGCUGCUGGAAAGUCGGGAUGUUAUUAGAAAGCGAACGUCUUCAUUUCUUUGUAAAAUAUCCAGAGUUUUGUUAAUCAAAUGAAAGUUAAGAUUUCAUUCUGGCUGGGUUUUUUCCAUGUACAAAACUCCGGAUCAGUGCUUCCUCUCAUUCAAAGGAGUUUCCUCCCUUCCAGUCUAAUUACAUCCUGCCGUGUAUAUCGAGGUUUGAAUAUGCCAAAUGGAAAGACACACACAAAUAUUGAAAUAAAGUUAA